GGCUCAGAGGUUAAGAGCAUUGGACUGCUCUUCCAGAGGUCCUGAGUUCAAUUCCCAG
rfam:Mesocricetus auratus contig211198, whole genome shotgun sequence.